rfam:Fukomys damarensis contig92615, whole genome shotgun sequence.
UCUGUUUUGUUCAAGCUCUUUCUAAAAUUGGAGAAACUAGUAUCAUGUAAUAUGGCCAGCAGAGUAAACACAAGAAUAAAAAAACUACUAAACAACUGUACCAGCUAGAAGAAAAACUGGGAUGAACCUUUUUUAAAUCCCCAGUCCUUUGUUCUAAGAUUUUUGGUGCAGUGAUA